rnacentral:rRNA from 1 species
GAUGAACGCUGGCGGCGUGCCUAAUACAUGCAAGUCGAGCGAACGGACGAGGAGCUUGCUUCUCUGAUGUUAGCGGCGGACGGGAGAGUAACACGUGGAUAGCCUACCUAUAAGACUGGGAUAACUUCGGGAAACCGGAGCUAAUACCGGAUAAUAUUUUGAACCACAUUGGUCAAAAGUGAAAGACGGUCUUGCUGGCGCUUAUAGAUGGAUCCGGGCUGCAUUAGCUAGUUGGUAAGGUAACGGGUUACCAAGGCAAGGAUGGAUAGCCGACCUGAGAGCGUGGACGGCUAGCUGGGAACUGAGACACGGCCCAGACUCUGAGGGUAGGCCGCAGUAGGGAAUCUUACGCAAUGGGGGAAAGCCUGACGGAGCAAAGCCGCGGGAGGGAUGAAGGUCUUCGGACCGUAAAACUCUGUUAGUAGUGAAGAACAAAUGUGUAAGUAACCGUGAAGAUCUUGACGGUACCUAAUCAGAAAGCCACGGCUAACUACGUG